UCCCUGAAGGACUAGUGGUUAGGCCACAGUGCUCUUGCCACUGCAGCCAGGGUUCGAUUCCUGGACAGGGAA